rnacentral:rRNA from 1 species
CAAGGGUUGGGCUGUUCGCCCAUUAAAGCGGUACGCGAGCUGGGUUCAGAACGUCGUGAGACAGUUCGGUCCCUAUCUGUCGUGGGCGCAGGAAAUUUGAGAGGAGCUGUCCUUAGUACGAGAGGACCGGGAUGGACGUACCGCUGGUGCACCAGUUGUUCCGCCAGGAGCAUGGCUGGGUAGCUACGUACGGACGGGAUAAGCGCUGAAAGCAUCUAAGCGUGAAGCCCCCCUCAAGAUGAGAUUUCCCAAUUAGUAAGACCCCUUGAAGACGACGAGGUAGAUAGGUUGGAGGUGGACGUGCAGUAAUGCAUGGAGCUGACCAAUACUAAUCGGUCGAGGGCUUAUCCUA